CUUGGAGACUCCUACGGGAGGCAGCAGUAGGGAAUCUUCGGCAAUGGACGGAAGUCUGACCGAGCAACGCCGCGUGAGUGAAGAAGGUUUUCGGAUCGUAAAGCUCUGUUGUAAGAGAAGAACGAGUGUGAGAGUGGAAAGUUCACACUGUGACGGUAUCUUACCAGAAAGGGACGGCUAACUACGUGCCAGCAGCCGCGGUAAUACGUGGGUCCCGAGCGUUGUCCGGAUUUAUUGGGCGUAAAGCGAGCGCAGGCGGUUAGAUAAGUCUGAAGUUAAAGGCUGUGGCUUAACCAUAGUACGCUUUGGAAAUGGUUUAACUUGAGUGCAGAAGGGGGGAGUGGAAUUCAAUGUGUAGCGGUGAAAUGCGUAGAUAUAUGGAGGAACACCGGUGGCGAAAGCGGCUCUCUGGUCUGUAACUGACGCUGAGGCUCGAAAGCGUGGGGAGCAAACAGGAUUAGAAACCCGAGUAGUCCU
rnacentral:rRNA from 1 species